rnacentral:rRNA from 1 species
AGAGCGAACGCUGGCGGCAGGCCUAACACAUGCAAGUCGAGCGCCCCGCAAGGGGAGCGGCAGACGGGAUAGUAACACGUGGGAACGUACCCUUCAGUUCGGAACAACCAAGGGAAACUUUGGCUAAUACCGAAUACGUCCGUAAGGAGAAAGAUUUAUCGCUGAAGGAUCGGCCCGCGUCUGAUUAGCUAGUUGGUGAGGUAAUGGCUCACCAAGGCGACGAUCAGUAGCUGGUCUGAGAGGAUGAUCAGCAUCACUGGGACUGAGACACGGCCCAGACUCCUACGGGAGGCAGCAGUGGGGAAUAUGGACAAUGGGCGCAAGCCUGAUCCAGCAUGCCGCGUGGAUGAUGAAGCCCUAGGUUGUAAAGUCCUUUCGGCGGGGAAGAUAAUGACGGUAACCCGCGAAGAAGAAGCCCCGGACUAACUUCGCGCCAGCAGCCG